GACGAACGAGGGGGGAGGGAGGAACACAGGCAAGUCGAACGGAAAGGCCCUGCUUUUGUGGGGUGCUCGAGUGGCGAACGGGUGAGUAACACGUGAGUAACCUGCCCUUGACUUUGGGAUAACUUCAGGAAACUGGGGCUAAUACCGGAUAGGAGCUCCUGCUGCAUGGUGGGGGUUGGAAAGUUUCGGCGGUUGGGGAUGGACUCGCGGCUUAUCAGCUUGUUGGUGGGGUAGUGGCUUACCAAGGCUUUGACGGGUAGCCGGCCUGAGAGGGUGACCGGCCACAUUGGGACUGAGAUACGGCCCAGACUCCUACGGGAGGCAGCAGUGGGGAAUAUUGCACAAUGGGCGGAAGCCUGAUGCAGCAACGCCGCGUGCGGGAUGACGGCCUUCGGGUUGUAAACCGCUUUCGCCUGUGACGAAGCGUGAGUGACGGUAAUGGGUAAAGAAGCACCGGCUAACUACGUG
rnacentral:rRNA from 1 species